rnacentral:rRNA from 1 species
UUAAGCGACUAAGCGUACACGGUGGAUGCCCUGGCAGUCAGAGGCGAUGAAGGACGUGCUAAUCUGCGAUAAGCGUCGGUAAGGUGAUAUGAACCGUUAUAACCGGCGAUUUCCGAAUGGGGAAACCCAGUGUGUUUCGACACACUAUCAUUAACUGAAUCCAUAGGUUAAUGAGGCGAACCGGGGGAACUGAAACAUCUAAGUACCCCGAGGAAAAGAAAUCAACCGAGAUUCCCCCAGUAGCGGCGAGCGAACGGGGAGCAGCCCAGAGCCUGAAUCAGUGUGUGUGUUAGUGGAAGCGUCUGGAAAGGCGCGCGAUACAGGGUGACAGCCCCGUACACAAAAAUGCACAUGCUGUGAGCUCGAUGAGUAGGGCGGGACACGUGGUAUCCUGUCUGAAUAUGGGGGGACCAUCCUCCAAGGCUAAAUACUCCUGACUGACCGAUAGUGAACCAGUACCGUGAGGGAAAGGCGAAAAGAACCCCGGCGAGGGGAGUGAAAAAGAACCUGAAACCGUGUACGUACAAGCAGUGGGAGCACGCUUAGGCGUGUGACUGCGUACCUUUUGUAUAAUGGGUCAGCGACUUAUAUUCUGUAGCAAGGUUAACCGAAUAGGGGAGCCGAAGGGAAACCGAGUCUUAACUGGGCGUUAAGUUGCAGGGUAUAGACCCGAAACCCGGUGAUCUAGCCAUGGGCAGGUUGAAGGUUGGGUAACACUAACUGGAGGACCGAACCGACUAAUGUUGAAAAAUUAGCGGAUGACUUGUGGCUGGGGGUGAAAGGCCAAUCAAACCGGGAGAUAGCUGGUUCUCCCCGAAAGCUAUUUAGGUAGCGCCUCGUGAAUUCAUCUCCGGGGGUAGAGCACUGUUUCGGCAAGGGGGUCAUCCCGACUUACCAACCCGAUGCAAACUGCGAAUACCGGAGAAUGUUAUCACGGGAGACACACGGCGGGUGCUAACGUCCGUCGUGAAGAGGGAAACAACCCAGACCGCCAGCUAAGGUCCCAAAGUCAUGGUUAAGUGGGAAACGAUGUGGGAAGGCCCAGACAGCCAGGAUGUUGGCUUAGAAGCAGCCAUCAUUUAAAGAAAGCGUAAUAGCUCACUGGUCGAGUCGGCCUGCGCGGAAGAUGUAACGGGGCUAAACCAUGCACCGAAGCUGCGGCAGCGACGCUUAUGCGUUGUUGGGUAGGGGAGCGUUCUGUAAGCCUGUGAAGGUGUGCUGUGAGGCAUGCUGGAGGUAUCAGAAGUGCGAAUGCUGACAUAAGUAACGAUAAAGCGGGUGAAAAGCCCGCUCGCCGGAAGACCAAGGGUUCCUGUCCAACGUUAAUCGGGGCAGGGUGAGUCGACCCCUAAGGCGAGGCCGAAAGGCGUAGUCGAUGGGAAACAGGUUAAUAUUCCUGUACUUGGUGUUACUGCGAAGGGGGGACGGAGAAGGCUAUGUUGGCCGGGCGACGGUUGUCCCGGUUUAAGCGUGUAGGCUGGUUUUCCAGGCAAAUCCGGAAAAUCAAGGCUGAGGCGUGAUGACGAGGCACUACGGUGCUGAAGCAACAAAUGCCCUGCUUCCAGGAAAAGCCUCUAAGCAUCAGGUAACAUCAAAUCGUACCCCAAACCGACACAGGUGGUCAGGUAGAGAAUACCAAGGCGCUUGAGAGAACUCGGGUGAAGGAACUAGGCAAAAUGGUGCCGUAACUUCGGGAGAAGGCACGCUGAUAUGUAGGUGAAGUCCCUCGCGGAUGGAGCUGAAAUCAGUCGAAGAUACCAGCUGGCUGCAACUGUUUAUUAAAAACACAGCACUGUGCAAACACGAAAGUGGACGUAUACGGUGUGACGCCUGCCCGGUGCCGGAAGGUUAAUUGAUGGGGUUAGCGGUAACGCGAAGCUCUUGAUCGAAGCCCCGGUAAACGGCGGCCGUAACUAUAACGGUCCUAAGGUAGCGAAAUUCCUUGUCGGGUAAGUUCCGACCUGCACGAAUGGCGUAAUGAUGGCCAGGCUGUCUCCACCCGAGACUCAGUGAAAUUGAACUCGCUGUGAAGAUGCAGUGUACCCGCGGCAAGACGGAAAGACCCCGUGAACCUUUACUAUAGCUUGACACUGAACAUUGAGCCUUGAUGUGUAGGAUAGGUGGGAGGCUUUGAAGUGUGGACGCCAGUCUGCAUGGAGCCGACCUUGAAAUACCACCCUUUAAUGUUUGAUGUUCUAACGUUGACCCGUGAUCCGGGUUGCGGACAGUGUCUGGUGGGUAGUUUGACUGGGGCGGUCUCCUCCUAAAGAGUAACGGAGGAGCACGAAGGUUGGCUAAUCCUGGUCGGACAUCAGGAGGUUAGUGCAAUGGCAUAAGCCAGCUUGACUGCGAGCGUGACGGCGCGAGCAGGUGCGAAAGCAGGUCAUAGUGAUCCGGUGGUUCUGAAUGGAAGGGCCAUCGCUCAACGGAUAAAAGGUACUCCGGGGAUAACAGGCUGAUACCGCCCAAGAGUUCAUAUCGACGGCGGUGUUUGGCACCUCGAUGUCGGCUCAUCACAUCCUGGGGCUGAAGUAGGUCCCAAGGGUAUGGCUGUUCGCCAUUUAAAGUGGUACGCGAGCUGGGUUUAGAACGUCGUGAGACAGUUCGGUCCCUAUCUGCCGUGGGCGCUGGAGAACUGAGGGGGGCUGCUCCUAGUACGAGAGGACCGGAGUGGACGCAUCACUGGUGUUCGGGUUGUCAUGCCAAUGGCACUGCCCGGUAGCUAAAUGCGGAAGAGAUAAGUGCUGAAAGCAUCUAAGCACGAAACUUGCCCCGAGAUGAGUUCUCCCUGACCCUUUAAGGGUCCUGAAGGAACGUUGAAGACGACGACGUUGAUAGGCCGGGUGUGUAAGCGCAGCGAUGCGUUGAGCUAACCGGUACUAAUGAACCGUGAGGCUUAACCU